AUCACCCCCACUGAAGAACACGGGUUCGAAAUUGUCAUCAGGAACUGAUCAGGAUCAUUAAACACAAUUUUUAUAUUGAUUUUAUAUUGGAAAAUUCGCUUGUAGUUGACAGAGAUAGACUCCAUGUUGAUCCAGAGAAAAUAUCGGCGAUAAUUAAUAUUCCCCAAUCCCAGUACUGUCAAACAAGUGCAACAAUUUUUAGGAGUUGCCUCAUGGUUUCGGCGUUUCAUAUCUAAAGCUUUUUUUCGCGAGUUCGCGUUGAAGUGAAAGUCACAACGGUUACUUAACCGGUCCGUUUUUGCGACAUACGGUAAUUGAGGGGAAGGUGUUGUGAUGUCAUAGAAAGCCGUCAUCGUUUAGAACCGUGUUAUGAUUUCAGUAACCCUGCUCAAGAGAUUUUACCGACAAUAAUGGGUGAAGAGAAGUUGGUUGAAAUUUCGAUAAAUCACGAGGGGGAGGAUUUUUUAGCAUUUGUCAGAUUGGAAACUGCAAAUGUAUUGUUGAAUGAUCCAGAGGCAGCUUCAAACUAUGUUAGAAAACAUCUUAUUAGCGAACAACAAAAUGCACAACACUCAGAUAGUAAUACUGGUGUCAUCAGUGUGUGGUCAACAAAAAGGCCAAGUGUAAAAGACAGUAAGGCUACAGAAAUAUUCCUGGAAUUACGCCAAAAAUAUGCCCACGAAUUUCAUGACAAAAAGCAUGUGAAAACGCAAUUAUGGGGCAAAAUUGCUCGUGAGAUGUAUGCAUUGGGAUUUGUGUGGCACUGGACGUGAUGCAGUUGAGAAACUACGACAGAAGUUUUCCAACCUCCAGAAGCAAUACAUGAAACAUGUCUCGCAUAUGAAACGGACUGGCGAAGAAAAAAAAGAACCACCGCCAUUCUUUUCAGAAAUGCAUGGUAUCAUGAGCAAUAAACACAAAAGUGACCCCAAAAAUUUACAAGACACUCUAGAAGCCUGUAGUAGUAGUUCAGUACAAGAGAGUGAAACUGAUGAUCUAUUAGCCCCACAAUCGCCUUCGUCAUGUGAUCAAGAAAAGAAAGAAAUGAUAAAAAAUAGAUUCUCAUUGAACAAGAUUAGAAAGCCAUCCACUUCAAAUGUCCAAUUAAUUAAUCUGAUGCAAACGCAACAUGAAGA